rnacentral:rRNA from 1 species
AUUGAACGCUGGCGGCAGGCCUAACACAUGCAAGUCGAGCGGAUGAGUGGAGCUUGCUCCAUGAUUCAGCGGCGGACGGGUGAGUAAUGCCUAGGAAUCUGCCUGGUAGUGGGGGACAACGUUUCGAAAGGAACGCUAAUACCGCAUACGUCCUACGGGAGAAAGUGGGGGAUCUUCGGACCUCACGCUAUCAGAUGAGCCUAGGUCGGAUUAGCUAGUUGGAGAGGUAAAGGCUCACCAAGGCGACGAUCCGUAACUGGUCUGAGAGGAUGAUCAGUCACACUGGAACUUAGAAACGGUCCAGACUCCUAGGGGAGGCAGCAGUGGGGAAUAUUGGACAAUGGGCGAAAGCCUGAUCCAGCCGUGCCGCGUGUGUGAAGAAGGUCUUCGGAUUGUAAAGCACUUUAAGUUGGGAGGAAGGGCAGUAAGUUAAUACCUUGCUGUUUUGACGUUACCAACAGAAUAAGCACCGGCUAACUUCGUGCCAGCAGCCGCCGUAACAC